GCCGCGUGAGUGAGGAAGGUUUUCGGAUUGUAAAGCUCUGUCGAGCGGAAAGAAGUGCAUGGUGGUUAAUAUCCAUCAUGCUUGACGGUACCGCUAAAGGAAGCACCGGCUAACUCCGUGCCAGCAGCCGCGGUAAUACGGGGGGUGCAAGCGUUGUUCGGAAUCAUUGGGCGUAAAGCGCGUGUAGGCGGCUGGACAAGUCAGAUGUGAAAGCCCUGGGCUUAACCCAGGAAGUGCAUUUGAAACUGUUCAGCUAGAGUAAGGGAGAGGAAAGUGGAAUUCCUGGUGUAGAGGUGAAAUUCGUAGAUAUCAGGAGGAACACCGGUGGCGAAGGCGACUUUCUGGCCCUAUACUGACGCUGAGACGCGAAAGCGUGGGUAGCAAACAGGAUUAGAUACCCUGGUAGUCCACGCUGUAAACGAUGUUCACUAGGUGUUGGGGGUAUUGACCCUUCCAGUGCCGCAGCUAACGCAUUAAGUGAACCGCCUGGGGAGUACGGUCGCAAGAUUAAACUCAAGGAAUU
rnacentral:rRNA from 1 species